rnacentral:rRNA from 1 species
AUUGAACGCUGGCGGCAGGCUUAACACAUGCAAGUCGAGCGGUAGCACAGGGGAGCUUGCUCCCUGGGUGACGAGCGGCGGACGGGUGAGUAAUGUCUGGGAAACUGCCUGAUGGAGGGGGAUAACUACUGGAAACGGUAGCUAAUACCGCAUAACGUCGCAAGACCAAAGAGGGGGACCUUCGGGCCUCUUGCCAUCAGAUGUGCCCAGAUGGGAUUAGCUAGUAGGUGGGGUAAUGGCUCACCUAGGCGACGAUCCCUAGCUGGUCUGAGAGGAUGACCGGCCACACUGGAACUGAGACACGGUCCAGACUCCUACGGGAGGCAGCAGUGGGGAAUAUUGCACAAAGGGCGCAAGCCUGAUGCAGCCAUGCCGCGUGUGUGAAGAAGGCCUUCGGGUUGUAAAGCACUUUCAGCGAGGAGGAAGGUGGUGAGCUUAAUACGUUCAUCAAUUGACGUUACUCGCAGAAGAAGCACCGGCUAACUCCGUG